UACGUAGGUGGCAAGCGUUGUCCGGAUUUACUGGGCGUAAAGAGCGCGCAGGCGGUCGUUCAAGUCGAGUGUGAAAGCCCCCGGCUCAACUGGGGAGGGUCACUCGAUACUGAUCGACUCGAAGGCAGAAGAGGGAAGCGGAAUUCCCGGUGUAGUGGUGAAAUGCGUAGAUAUCAGGAGGAACACCGGUGGCGAAGGCGCUCAUCUGGCCCAAUACUGACGCUGAGGCGCGAAAGCUAGGGGAGCAAACGGG
rnacentral:rRNA from 1 species